rnacentral:rRNA from 1 species
UGGGGAAUUUUGGACAAUGGGCGCAAGCCUGAUCCAGCAAUGCCGCGUGCAGGAUGAAGGCCUUCGGGUUGUAAACUGCUUUUGUACGGAACGAAACGAUAAACUCUAAUAAAGUUUACUAAUGACGGUACCGUAAGAAUAAGCACCGGCUAACUACGUG